ACGACACGACACGACCCCCGGGCCACAUCCGGCCCUUUGGCCAUCGCUGACCGGCACCAUGAAUGGUAAUUGGAAAUAAGAAGAUUGGAGAGCCAUCUGGGCGGCAGUGAUGACAGAGACGGUCCGACUUCUGUUGUUAAUGAGUUGGACAGCAUGAAAAGAACAACCGCUGACAGCCUGCAGGAACACGGGAGCUGCUGGUCUAGUUUAGCUUUGUCUGGUUAGUUUGUGUAACUGAGAUAAAUCCAAAAGAAGGAUUUCAAACACUCAAAACACAAAAUAACAUGUGUGGAUUUAAUGAUGAAUGCAGUGGAUCAACAACUCGGAUUCACAAACUUCAUUUUCCAGAUGGAAAAGACAAACUAACCCUUUUAGGAGACAGAGACACGUCUGGUGCAACAUCUUUAAACAUUUCACAUGGAAAUGAGGAAGAAAAACCUCCUCCCACACGUGAGGACAUCCGUUGUGGAAUAACAUUUUCAGUCAGACGCCUGAUUCUCUGUGUCGUGACGGCCCGUGUUCAAAGUGGCCAUCACUCCUCACCUUCGCUGACAUCUCCAAUCUGAUGAGGGUGAAGUCAAGUCGCUUAGAUGACUAAUAAUCAUAUCAAAGGUGCCAUGUCAUCCAGCAGAUUUAAAUAAGAGGGUUUUAUUCGGUGAGCAUUUGCAUGCAUCUGUAUGCCUGGGCUAAGAGGCUAAUGUCAUAAAGAUGAUUUAAUGUAAUCUGUCAUGUCAUAUGCUAAUGUUGAGACCUCUCAGCAACAUACAGCAUGUUAGUGAGGGGAGCGUGACAGUAAGGAAGUGGUGGUGAACACUCGUGUUCUUGUAUUUGUUCUUUCUUCACGACACUCAGUAUGUGUGUCUGAGGAAAACAGUAAGUAAGACUAGUUCAAUUUUACUUUGACUAACGUGUUUACGUGACAUUAAGAAAACCCAACGAUGGUCUUUGUCUGAGUAAAAUCUGACUUUGAACAUGCAUGCAAACACACUGACUGACCUUGUGAGGACCAAAACCUGGUCUUAAUGAGGCAUAACCUAAUUUCGGAGGAAAUGUUUACAAUUAGGGCUAAGAUUUUAAGUUAAUGAAUGAAUGAAAGUCAAUGAGAGCCCUUAAAGGGACAGCUGCGUGUAUUCUUCCUCAUGGCCACCGUGUAGUUUCUCAUAUAUACUAGUUUUUUCACAGUAAAUCAGUCGUAAACAUUAACACUACUGUUAUAUCGCCUGCUAUUGCUAACAAGGGUCAGCCCGAUCCACGUUUUGUCCUA